rnacentral:rRNA from 1 species
UACGAAGGGGGCUAGCGUUGCUCGGAAUCACUGGGCGUAAAGCGCACGUAGGCGGAUUGUUAAGUCAGGGGUGAAAUCCUGGAGCUCAACUCCAGAACUGCCUUUGAUACUGGCGAUCUCGAGUCCGAUAGAGGUGGGUGGAAUUCCUAGUGUAGAGGUGAAAUUCGUAGAUAUUAGGAAGAACACCGGUGGCGAAGGCGGCUCACUGGCUCAUUUCUGACGCUCAGGCGCGACAGCGUGGGGAUCGAAACAGG